rnacentral:rRNA from 1 species
AGAGUUUGAUCCUGGCUCAGAUUGAACGCUGGCGGCAUGCUUUACACAUGCAAGUCGAACGGCAGCACGGGCUUCGGCCUGGUGGCGAGUGGCGAACGGGUGAGUAAUGCGUCGGAACGCGCCGAGUAGUGGGGGAUAACGCAGCGAAAGCUGUGCUAAUACCGCAUACGUACUGAGGUAGAAAGUGGGGGACCUUCGGGCCUCACGCUAUUCGAGCGGCCGACGUCUGAUUAGCUAGUUGGUGGGGUAAAGGCUCACCAAGGCGACGAUCAGUAGCGGGUCUGAGAGGAUGAUCCGCCACACUGGGACUGAGACACGGCCCAGACUCCUACGGGAGGCAGCAGUGGGGAAUUUUGGACAAUGGGCGCAAGCCUGAUCCAGCCAUGCCGCGUGUCUGAAGAAGGCCUUCGGGUUGUAAAG